rnacentral:tRNA from 2 species
CCAUGGUUAGCUCAGUUGGUAGAGCGAUCCUCCUGUAAGGGAGAGGUCCCGGGUUCGAUACCCGGACCAGGCG